rnacentral:tRNA from 4 species
GGCCCUAUCGUCUAGGGGUUAGGACACCAGGUUUUCAUCCUGGCAGCCGGGGUUCGAAUCCCCGUAGGGCUACCA